AUGAGCGCUGGCGGCGUGCCUAAUCCCUGCAAGUCGCGCGAACAGACGAGGAGCUUGCUCCUCUGACGUUAGCGGCGGACGGGUGAGUAACACGUGGAUAACCUACCUAUAAGACUGGGAUAACUUCGGGAAACCGGAGCUAAUACCGGAUAAUAUAUUGAACCGCAUGGUUCAAUAGUGAAAGACGGUUUUGCUGUCACUUAUAGAUGGAUCCGCGCCGCAUUAGCUAGUUGGUAAGGUAACGGCUUACCAAGGCGACGAUGCGUAGCCGACCUGAGAGGGUGAUCGGCCACACUGGAACUGAGACACGGUCCAGACUCCUACGGGAGGCAGCAGUAGGGAAUCUUCCGCAAUGGGCGAAAGCCUGACGGAGCAACGCCGCGUGAGUGAUGAAGGUCUUCGGAUCGUAAAACUCUGUUAUUAGGGAAGAACAAAUGUGUAAGUAACUAUGCACGUCUUGACGGUACCUAAUCAGAAAGCCACGGCUAACUACGUG
rnacentral:rRNA from 1 species